rnacentral:lncRNA from 10 species
AGAGGUGGAUAUUGUUUAAAUAUACAUUAGGUUAAACCACAAGCCUAGAUAAGCUUCUGAUUGUCCAACGUCAGAGAAGUCAGAAUAAAGUUGAAGCUAAAAACCUGUUCUGCUAAAUUCCAGGUCAUACUCACCAGGACACUUUUUCUCAGGAGCCCAGUGAAAAGGGGAGAUGCUAUAAAAUAUGUACCUAACAAAGCUUGUCAGCAGCUUGAAUGGAGCAAACCAGUCCAGAUCUGAGAAUUCUAGGAAAUAAAUGAAGUUGAACAUUUACUGCCAACAACCAUGUCACUGGGGCCACAGACAACUGGAGCCGCACAGCUGGGGAGGGGAGGAGUCUGUAGCCAGAGAAGGCAGUGGAACGCACCCAGGUUGGAUUAUUUAUGGUGUGCUGAUGAAGAGGCAACUUUCCAUAUGAGGAACAGCUUAACAGAGGAAUAGUCAAGUUAAACUAGGAAGAGGUCCAGUGAGAGAGAGAGAGAGCAACAAAAGCGGACGUGAAUAAAAAUGACAGCCACUGGACCCUAGGGCUCUGUGCUGAACCUCUGUUCACAGGCACAGUUCCUGCCCUCAUGAGGCUCAUUAUCUAGUGUGAGAGAUGGACAAGUCCACCCUCAGCUUCUGGACAGCAAGGUGGGUGCUAUGAUGACAGCUAUAACAGGGGCAAGGGAAGGGCAGAGGGACAACCGCAGGAAUGAGGUGCUGCAUGGGCUGAGACCUAAGGAAUACAGGCCCCAAAGUGAAACCUGGCAUGGAAAUAAUUUAGUGAAUGUUGCUUUCUAUUCUGAUUGAAUAGACACUUACCAAACCUCCAUGCAAUCCAAACCCUAGUUUUUAUUUAAAAAUUAAAAUGCAUUUCAUGGCCAGGUGCGGUGCCUCACGCCUGUAAUCCCAGCACUUUGGAAGGCCAAGACAGGAAGAUCAUGAGGUCAGGAGUUCGAGACCAGCCUGCCCAACAUGGUGAAACCCCAUCUCUACUAAAAAAAAAAAAAAAAAAAAAAUAGCCAGGUGUGGUGGCGCAUGCCUGUAAUCCCAGCUGCUCGGGAGGCUGAGGCAGGAGAAUUGCUUGAACCCGGGAAGCGGAGGUUGCAGUGAGCCAAGAUCAUGCCACUGCACUCCAGCCUGGAUGACAGAGCAAGACUCCAACUCGAAAAAAAUAUAUAAAAUAAAAAUAAAAUGCAUUUCCUGCAAAAAUGCCAACUUCUGUGGUUCCUAGUAGUUUCCAUCCUUGAAUUCGGCACUUAAGAUCUGUCUACUCAAGCUUUUUACAAUCUUUUAUAUGGUACAAAAUACCUCUUCUCCCAAGUCUGGCCAAAAGCCUAAUAAAUACCAGCCACCAGUUAUCACAUGGCCCACAGGUGCCAGGCAUUUCGUGUGUGUCUCUUUUACUCUUCACAACAGUGCCUUGACAUAGGAUUGUCACCCCCAUUUCACAGAGGAGAGAAUGGAGCCUAAGAGGGGACACUCUCUCGAGGCCACACACAGUAAGUAUUGGAGCACUUUGUUGC